UUCAAAAGCAAACCCUAGUCUCUUCUUCAACUAACUUCUUUAUAAUCAAGAGCAUAAAUUCAUCAGGUAAUAAUCGAUUGAACCAAAGAAAUCCUAGCUAGUUCGGUCAACAGUUAGAAGCACCGAUCUGAGAUUUUAGGUCAUUUUUGAGAUUUGGAAGUAUCGAUAUGAUAAUCAGUCAUGAAUAUCAAAUGAUAAUGGUUGUGCUUUGGAAGCGAAUCAAUGAUACUGGCUAAAAUUGGCGCCACGUGUACAAAGUUUUCACAUCCCCUAUGCUCUUUCUGAUUUUUUUAGAGCUUUAUAUCUGAGAUGCUAUGGCGCGGUAUUUGUGGUCUUGAAUGGUGGACAUUGAGUCAAUGCCCGAUAUCAACUUCAUCACUUACUUAUUGAUGUUUUUUCUGAUCGCCUCUUUGUAUUUUUGCAGUCCGGAAAAUUAAAAAUUGCUAAAACAAGAAAUGCGAUUCAAGUGGAAGUGCUCGAAAAUGACUUUAACAGUCGGUUUAUGAUAAUACAGUGAGAGGGACCAGGGAAGUCUUUGCUGGCACUAGUGAACGAAAUCUCAGUCUUUGGUGGCACUGGUGAACGAUAAAGAAAAAAAAUUCAAGAAGCCAGACAGAAAGCACUUUCCAACAGGGAGAAGUCAGUCUCCUUUCAAGAAUACUCUCAGACAGUUGUGCUUUAUCUUUUUUUUUUUUGCUUUUUUUGAAACACUUUUGUACAUGUGCUUAGCAUGCUAGCAUGUAGAUUCUUAUGCAUUCGUGCAUAAGGAAGACUCUCAGACAGAUUUUUAUGCAGUUCUGGAUAAGAAAGACUCUCAAGCAGUUGUGCUUAAAAAACUUUGAAUCGUAAUGUAUCUAUGUGAAC